rnacentral:rRNA from 1 species
GCAACGAGCGCAACCCUUGCCAUUAAUUGCCAUCAUUUAGUUGGGCACUUUGAUGGGACUGCCGGUGACAAACCGGAGGAAGGUGGGGAUGACGUCAAGUCCUCAUGGCCCUUAUGGGUAGGGCUUCACACGUCAUACAAUGGUCGGUACAGAGGGUUGCCAAACCGCGAGGUGGAGCUAAUCUCUUAAAGCCGAUCGUAGUCCGGAUCGUAGUCUGCAACUCGACUACGUGAAGUCGGAAUCGCUAGUAAUCGCGGAUCAGCAUGUCGCGGUGAAUACGUUCCCGGGUCUU